rnacentral:lncRNA from 1 species
AGGGUUAGGAGGUGUUACUAGACAGACAGACAGACAGACAGGUUAGAGUUAGGAGGUGUUACUGAACAGACAGACAGACAGGUUAGGAGGUGUUACUAUACAGACAGACAGACAGGCAGGCAGAAAGACAGGUUAGAGUUAGGAGGUGUUAAUGUACAGACAGACAGACAGGUUAGGAGGUGUUACUAUACAGACAGACAGACAGACAAACAGACAGACAGGUUAGGGUUAGGAGGUGUUACUGAACAGACAGACAGACAGACAGGUUAGGAGGUGUUACUAUACAGACAGACAGACAGACAGGCAGACAGACAGGUUAGAGUUAGGAGGUGUUACUGUACAGACAGACAGACAGGUUAGGGUUAGGAGGUGUUACUGUACAGACAGACAGACAGACAGACAGGUUAGGGUUAGGAGGUGUUACUGUACAGACAGACAGGUUAGGGUUAGGAGGUGUUACUGUACAGACAGACAGACAGACAGACAGACAGGUUAGGGUUAGGAGGUGUUACUAGACAGACAGACAGACAGACAGACAGGUUAGAGUUAAGAGGUGUUACUGAACAGACAGACAGACAGACAGGUUAGGAGGUGUUACUAUACAGACAGACAGACAGACAGGUUAGGGUUAGGAGGUGUUACUGUACAGACUGACAGACAGACAGGUUAGGGUUAGGAGGUGUUACUAUACAGACAGACAGACAGGUUAGGGUUAGGAGGUGUUACUAGACAGACAGACAGACAGACAGACAGACAGACAGACAGACAGACAGACAGACAGGUUAGGAGGUGUUACUAUACAGACAGACAGGCAGGCAGACAGACAGGUUAGAGUUAGGAGGUGUUACUGUACAGAGAGACAGACAGACAGACAGGUUAGAGUUAGUAGGUGUUACUAGACAGACAGACAGGUUAGGGUUAGGAGGUGUUACUAUACAGACAGACAGACAGGUUAGGGUUAGGAGAUGUUACUAGACAGACAGACAGGUUAGAGUUAGGAGGUGUUACUGAAAAGACAGACAGACAGACAGGUUAGGAGGUGUUACUAUACAGACAGACAGACAGACAGGCAGACAGACAGGUUAGGGUUAGGAGGUGUUACUAUACAGACAGACAGUCAGGUUAGGGUUAGGAGGUGUUACUGAACAGACAGACAGACAGGUUAGGAGGUGUUACUAGACAGACAGACAGACAGAC